GAGAAUUGGUUGAGCAUAGAAGCUUUCAUGUGAGUUCAAUUCUUACCCGUCUCUUAUAAUUUUUAUGUUUUUGAGAUAGUUGCAACUAGGUCCAGCUAACCCGUACCUUCAUUUCUGAUUCUGUUUAAAAUUCUGGAAGUUUCCAUUGAUAAAUAUUAGAUUUUUUUUAUGAAUAACAUUGAUUUGAAGCUUUGAUUGUGUUGUAUGAUGAUUUUGUAAAGUGAUUUUUGUUAAAUAUUGAUUUUAAGAUUAAAUUGUGAAAAUGUCAAAAUAUUAGAGUUUGAUAGUGAAUUUUAGGUUUAUUAGGGGCUAUAUGAGGGCUUAGAAUAUUUGGAUAGAUUAUUGAUUUGAGAAAAUUAGUUAAUUUGAUAGAUUAACUAAUUAAGGGAUUAAAUUGCAAAAAUUGUAAAAGUUUGAGGUAAUUGCAUAAAUUCAAAAAAUAAAAAGGUAUUAAUCCCAUAAAUACUCGUGGAAAAGGAAAAAUAGUGGAAUAGUCCCUGAACUUCUGCAAUUACUCCAAUUCAGUCCAGGGAAGUUCGUACGGUUAAAAUUUAACAUUUGUAUAAAUUGAUGAUUGGUAUUAUGCAUAUAUUCUAUUGUUAGAAAUGAAUUAUUAUUUGAAUUAUAAUAUUAAAUUGGAUAUUCAGUUUGAAUUGAACGCGAGAUUUGAGUACAUUCAUGAUUUGGUGUAUGACGGGAGUUUGGAGUGGAGCUGGUAUUAUAGGGAGAUAUUGGCAUUUUACCCAAGUAAACUGGGAUUCAACAUUUGUUGCAAACUCUCGUGUUUUACUUUAUGUUUGGCAUGAUUGGGUGGAUCAGCUCUUACGAGCUUCUGUUCAGCUUUCAAGCUUCGUUGGCGUAUUCGGGAGGACCAGCUCUUAUGAGCUUCUGUUGACGAUGUACUCUUACCCGUAAGUCGUUCUUCAAAUGGAAAAAUCUCGGUUGAUUUAUUUAAUGAAUUUAAAAGACAUGUAAUUUAUUUUUGUAUUGAUUUGAAUACGAAUGUUUUUAUCAAUUGAAGUUGUGAAUGACAGGAGUUGUCUUGGAUGAUUUUGAUUAUUUGAUUUAUUAUAGUUAGUUCGGUAAGAUUUUUGUUUAUCUCAUCGAACUUACUAAGCUUCAUUAAGAUUGCUUGUGCUAUUUAAUGUCAUUGUAGAUUUUCGGAAGGUUGGAUGACCGGAUCGGCACUCAAGUCACACUAUCCAGUUUAUCUCGGUAGUUUUUGAAACGUUAAAUUCGGAUUAUAUGGCAUGUAUAGGCUCUUAUGCUAUUUUGGUUAAUGUUUGGCUUAUGUAAAUGUUAUGAAUG
rnacentral:lncRNA from 1 species